UACGGGGGGAGCAAGCGUUGUUCGGAUUUACUGGGCGUAAAGGGCGCGUAGGCGGCACCGCAAGUCGACUGUGAAAUCUCCGGGCUUAACUCGGAAAGGUCAGCCGAUACUGCGAGGCUAGAGUGCAGAAGGGGCAACUGGAAUUCUCGGUGUAGCGGUGAAAUGCGUAGAUAUCGAGAGGAACACCUGCGGCGAAGGCGGGUUGCUGGGCUGACACUGACGCUGAUGCGCGAAAGCUAGGGGAGCGAACGGG
rnacentral:rRNA from 1 species